GAAAGAGGCCUGAAGCUAAUAGAGACUGCUAAUCCCUAAAUCCACGGUUUAACUCCGCGGCUCAUUCG
rnacentral:tRNA from 3 species